UACAGGUGAGAAAUUGCAAUCAACAAUUCAAAAUUAUACGGGCUUUGUACGAUUCUCUCUUCUAUUUUUUUUUCUUUUCUUACACUCUACAACUUCCUUCGAUCGCCUCAGGGGAGAUUCCCAGGUCAAGUAUUGAGAAAGAGAGGGACGUGUGUAUAAGUGAAAUGUGCGGUAAAUAUCUCUUAAGGGUAUAUAUAUGUAUACACACACAUGGAAGUUUAUAUUGCGCAGAGAUCCAUUUAAAAAAAAAAAAAAAAAGUGGACCAUAAAGAAGAGCUCUUACGUGGUACGUGGUAAAAAAAAAUAGAAAACAAGAUCUCAAACGUGAGUUUCCAUUGGACUUGAAUAAUUUAAAAAAAAAAAAAAAACUAAAUCAUCUUCGGUAUGUUCAAUGGUGAUAUAAAUAAAUAAUUAGAAAAAAAAACAAUGGAACUGUAAGUA